AGUUUAUUGUUUUUUAUAAUAAAUUUUUUCUGCCCGGUGAAUAUUUUAACGGCCGCGGUACUCUGACCGUGCAAAGGUAGCAUAAUCAUUUGUUCUUUAAUUGGGGACUAGAAUGAAAGAAAGGUUGAAAGCAAAGCUGUCUCUUUUAAGAGCAAGAAAUUGCUGUUGUUGUGAAGAAGCAAUAGUCUGUCAAAAAGACAAGAAGACCCUAUUAAGCUGUACUUUUUCCAUUGAAUUUUUUCUUUUCAGUAAAAAAAUUCAAUGGAAAGGGUUUAGUUGGGGUGAUUGAAGAGGAAUAAACUUUUAUCCUCUUUUGUUUAAAAAACUUUAGGUUUAAUUUUGAUCCAAUAUUUUUUGAUUGUAAGAAUUAGUUACUAUAGGGAUAACAGCGUAAUUUUUUCAUAAAGUUCUUAUUGAAGAAAAAGAUUGCGACCUCGAUGUUGACUUAUUGUUUCCUUGAAAGGUGUAGUAGCUAAAAAGGUUAGUCUGUUCGACUAUUAAAACAAU
rnacentral:rRNA from 1 species